rnacentral:rRNA from 1 species
CGCGAAUGGCUCAUUAUAACAGCUACAAUUUACUUGAUCUUGACACAAUCCUACUUGGAUAACUGUGGUAAUUCUAGAGCUAAUACAUGCAUUAAAGCUCUGACCUCACGGGAAGAGUGCAUUUAUUAGAACAAAACCAAGCGGCUUCGGCUGUUUCUGGUUGACUCAUAGUAACUGAGCUGAUCGCACGGUCUUGCACCGGCGACGUGUCUUUCAAGUAUCUGCCGUAUCAACUUUCGAUGGUAGUGUAUCUGACUACCAUGGUGAUCACGCGUAACGGAGAAUAAGGGUUCGGCUCCGGAGAGUUCGCCUGAGAAAUCGCGAACACAUCUAAGGAAGGCAGCAGGCGCGAAAAUUACCCACUCUCAGCACGAGGAGGUAGUGACGAAAAAUAACGAGACCGUUCUCUUAUGAGGCCGGUCAUCGGAAUGGGUACAAUUUAAACCCUUUAACGAGUAUCUAUGAGAGGGCAAGUCUGGUGCCAGCAGCCGCGGUAAUUCCAGCU